GCGACCCCAGGAUGGGCGAGGCCACCCGCUGAGCUUAAGCAUAUCAAUAAGCGGAGGAGAGAACU
rnacentral:rRNA from 1 species